UUUUUUUUUUCUUUUUUUUUAAAUAGGGUUACUCUAUCAUGAGGGAUGGUGGUGAUUUGUACAUGACUUACUUAUACGGUAUCACUACCUCCAGUGACUAUAUUGGCCUAUUUAAAGAAAUCUUGGCAAUGUGGAGGGAAAGAAGGACCGCCAGUGUCGGAAUCUGUGGGUAUUGGUGAUUCCCAGAUUGUAGAAAGUCUCUGUCUUUCAGCCCCGCUGCCAAAGAAGAAGUCAUAAUUCAUCUGUGCUGGUUUCAAGGUUGUUUAUUCUGUUUAUCUCUAACAUGUUCUGCUGCCCUGCCGCAGCUCUGUCCUGCAGGGCAGCGUGUGGGGCUCUGCCCUCAGUGGGAUGUUACAAACAUUAAAUACCACAAACUACCUGUGCUGGAUUUACAAUAACGUGCCAAUAUCUGUCACCUACGUUGGACAGUGUGUCCCCAGCCUAAACCAACAGAAAAAUGCCAACACCACAGUGAAACAUGGAGGGCAUGAAGAAGGAGAAAAAGGACAAGACACUCCCAAUUUCCUCCAUCUUGUGCCCUUUGCACCCCUAAUCUAGAAACCUAAAAUUUUACUUUUGCACCCGUGCCACACUUAAUUAUUACUCAUAUCAAACACUCAGAGCUGGUAAUUCAUGCUGUAAGAUUGAAAACUCUUUUCCAUGGACAGAAAUCACAGAAAUUCUGGAUUCCCACACGCCAGCACCCUUCACAUUUGCCAAAGGAGUAACAAAGUUACUUCCAGUAUUGGUGGCCUCCAUCUGCUUUCUUACAUGGAUUGUUUUAAAGACAAACUUUUCAGGAAAAGAAGUUUGAUGCUGCCAUCUCAUUUGCAAGGAAGUAUUUAUUUUUUUUUAAUAGCCUUUGUGCAUAUUUAUGUACUGACAAAGGAUGGGAAACCAGGAUUUUUAUGCUCACCAAAGUAAUGCCUUAAUUAGAAAAGGUUAAAAUCAGCUUGAGAAGCGGGGCUUAAUUACAUUAGUUGGUGGUCCUUGACCACUAACAACUCAUAUAGAACCCUAGAACACAUUUUGUCGUUACUUUUGGAUCUACUUGUGGUUUGUGUAGCUAGCUGUUUUUAAUUUUUUCCCCUGUGUUUAGAUAGACUUUUAUUUUUAUUUGUCAGAGUUUGCAAUACUUUUUUCCUCUCCAUUUUCUAAUUCUGAGGUCUAUUGAGAGAUGCUUUCCUAUUGUUAAAUUCCAUUGCUGCUUAGGCAGCCAGGCCUCUUCUCCCUCCUACUCCCCCUUUCUCAAUCAUUUUCUAAUUGGAAUUUAUGGCACGAUAGUGCUCUGCAAUCUGCUUUAUCAUCUUUAUAACAAAUGUUCUUGUUUUAAUGUUGCUCUUCUCCUCCCGCAGCGGAUUUUAUAGUGUUACUGCAGAAGAGAUGCUGAACGGAGACAUAAAGAUUCCUGUUACACAGUUGCAUGAGUUUAAUCCUUGAUGCUCUGCAGAUGUUUUCUUUGUAGGCAGAAGUGGGGAUCUCCAGUCAUUGCAGGAUGCUCUGGGAGAUUCGCAGUGCUGAGGGUUUCUGUGAGACAAUGCCAAAGGAGAUACAGCAGCUAAAGAGAAAUAAAGGUACCAUACACAGACAUGCCAGCGUUGACAAGAGGUGAAAUUGUGUAAUUUCAAUUUUGACAUCAGUGAGGAUAUAAAAAUGAUUUGUCAUCUUAGUUCUCGGAGCUCAAAGCUGGAACUUCUGAAGUUGCUGAAAGCAGCUGAAGGUGCACUUGUUCAUGGGACCUGAUGAGGUGCAUCCACAGGUCCUGAGGGAACUGGGUAAUAUUUCACCCUCCUGCAAAUACAUGACAAGAAACUGCAAACAUUUCUUAUGAUAUUUUGAUUCAUUAGUAACAUUCCAGUUCCAUCUAGCUAAGCUAUUUUGUUUACACAUGAGCCUGUCAGUUCCUCCAGUGACCUGUUCACUGAUUUCUUCUCCAAACUUAGUUUUUCAGAAUGUUUUUGUAAUAUGCUGGUGAAAUAUAGUAUGUCAUCUAUCAGUGAUCAUUAUAAUGAAAUAUUAACUGUUUGAAAUGUUGAAGUCUGCUGGUGCCUCUAGUUUGUAUUCAUUGUGCAUCAACAUUGUCCCCUUGUUUAUGAGGUCAACAAAGAGCUAACGUCUGCCAAAGCACAGGCACUUUUUGUGUCAGAACUGGCUGCUUGGUCAGCAGUCAGGCAUGCUGAAAGUGCAGUAAUAUUUAAUCUUGGACUUUGUUAUGUAUUUUCUAUGUAAUUCAGGCUGUACUGACUCAUUCACUGUUAAUGUGAACUUAAAAUGAAGUGACAGUGAUGAGGACUCACAUCAUCUUCAUUACAAGCACUAACAAGGUCACUCUGCUACAAAGUCUGGGGUCAAGUUUUACCAGUCAAUGGAAUAGGAGGAAAUAUUUUACUGAUAAACUUCUCAUGAUGGGAUAACCAGAAGGUUUAUUUUUAGAGUGGCAUUUUUAAAAUGCUUGCAGCUACUGCCUUACCGUAGGUUGCUGAGUCAAAACAAAGUUUGUGCCAAGCUGCAGACUGCAAAUGCUGAGUAAUCACUAUUUUUCCAGAUGGAAAUCUCAAUUUUUUUACCACAUCAUUUGGCAGUGGACCUGCUUCUGUGACACAUCCAAACAUUUUAGUGGAACAUAAGCUGGAUGUUGAUAGGGUGUAGGUUCCUAAGCUGGAAUGUUCUGUGUGUGUGCUCUCCUUCUCCACCUAAAACUGGAUGUCUUUUUAGAAACCAAUAAUGUUUGUUUGGUCCACUCUUAGGCACUGUGAGCGAAUUUCCUGCUGUAUCAGGUUUAUGUGGCAAGGUUUUGGUUGUGGAGGCUGCAGGAUAAGGUCCUGAAAUAGCCAGCCCGUGUUAGGAAAAUUUACAUUUGCCCUCCUUACCUUUGAAAUGAUGAACUUGACUAUCUCUGCAUUCCUUUUGGCUCCUCUCAAGUCACGUAACUCCAAAAUCCUUAUUCAGGGCUUUUCUUGAACAUUUUAAGAAAUAUUUUUCACCAGCUUAAUGUUUGUUCCUGAGAUUAAAAAAAUCCUCUUAAAUGGAUGGAGAAACACACUCAUAUUGGGUGGACUUACUGUCAUUUUUAAUCCUCUGUGCCUCCAAACUUUAUCAGAUAUUUGAUGUAUUUAUCAAAUACCUUGAACAAUUUCUUUUGCUCAAAAGGUUAUCUUCUUUUCAUGUCUCAUCUUCGUCUUGUUCUAUGUCUUGAAGAGAUGUGUGCAAAACCUUCUCUGAAUAAUUUGAUAACUUCAGCAGCUUGUCACUGGGACCCAGCUCUCUCCUUUAAAAUAGUUCAUUUUAUAAAUGGCAAUUCAAUACAUUUUAUAAAAGGAAAUCAUUAUCAACUAGACAUGGGGAUAGAAGUGGAUUUUUUUUUCCUACUGCACAUACUCAAUUUCUUCACGGAAUUUCAUUUCACAGUUGGAAACUUGACUCCUGACUAGAGCUGUAUGAUACUGCCAAUUUUUGCUUUGACUAUUCAAGUGUAAAAAUAGCUAACUUUGCAAGAAUUCAGCAUGUGUAAUCCAGCUUAAGAGUGUCACGUUAUUGUAGAGCAAGUGGUUCUUGUCUUUGAAAGUAACCAGGCUGAAGUAAUGGAAGUGUGAAACAGAAAAAUGUCAUUUGCCUAAACAUACUCAGGUUGAAUCAAUUGCUUGUCUUAAUUAGAAAUUAAGAUUCUGAAUGGUUAAUUAUUAUUUAAAAUUACACAAAACUGAGCAGAUUGAUACCCCGUUGUACUUAUUUGUUUCCUACUGUUCUGGUAGCACAAAGCCCAGUUAAAUCCAGGUAAAUGUGUUCCCUUAUGGCUCCUCAGAGCAGGGAGCAGGGCCUGGCUAGCUGGGACAUGAAUUUCUGCAGGGGAUGAUGCUUUUGUUUUAGAUUGACAAGCACUUGACUGAGUACCUGUUGCUGAGUCUUGCUUGACACUGCUUGUAGAACUUCUUUUCAGACAGUUUUUCAGAUAAAUAGGCAUCAUGGCUGGAAAUGUUCUUGAAGCUUCAGCUCUAUGAGCGAGAAUUCAGGGAUAAGCUGUAGGAAUAUGGGCCAAAUGCACAAAGUUCCUCCAAGAAACUCACUUCUCCCACAGCUUUUACUUACAUGCAUAAUGUCACACGUCAACUUCUCAUACAAAAUUUUUAUCAGCAAUCACACUUUCUCCUAGAUUAUGUCUAAAGUGUGAGAAUUGCACAUGAAGGAUGAGAACACUGAAACUUCUUGUCUCGAGACUAAGGGUGUGUGCCACAACUUCAUCCCAUUUCUGGGUUUUCUUUCCAAAAGUAUUUCUGGGAUUGCUGGGAUUUCUUUCCAAAAGUUUCUUUCUUUCUUGGAAAAUACUUGCAAGUCAUAUCACAAGAGCCAAAAGUUGUUCUGAUACUUAUUAUUUUCCCUCAAAUCUGAAGUCUCUUUAUAGGCUUUCUUGGCAGAUCCCUUGAGGCCUUUUAAUCUGUGGAUGUUUUACAGGAUUGCCUUAAACCGCAAUUCCGUUUCUUGAGUAUUUCAUGCAUGGACAGUGGUUUGGAGAGAAAGUUGGAAGGAAGCAGAGGGCUGGUGCUGGGAGCAAAUACAUCAAGAAAGGACAUUUGGGAAAAGGUAGAUGACCAGUGAAAAAAGAUAUAGAGGAUUUGAUGACAUAUCCAUGAGAUAAAGCAUCAGCUUUGUGUUCUGUGCUACCAUUCCAUCAUGGAUUCAGCAAGGCUCUUUGGGGUACAAGUGCAUGACACUGGAUUAUGCUCCAGUAUGUGUUGGAGUGCAUCCCAAGCUGGGAUUGGCUUUACAAGUGAGCCCAUGUUUUCAUCUGAUGCGUCUGAUUUGGUGUCUUGAUAAAAGGAAGGCAGUAACACAUCAUUCUGUACUCACAGUUUCCAAAGGGCAUGUGAAUGUUAUAAGGAAAUAUCUGUUAAAUCUCUUGGAAUUAGAAGUGACAAUAUAAUAAACACUUUCAGUUUGUA